rnacentral:rRNA from 1 species
GUGGAGCUUGCUCCAUGAUUCAGCGGCGGACGGGUGAGUAAUGCCUAGGAAUCUGCCUGGUAGUGGGGGACAACGUUUCGAAAGGAACGCUAAUACCGCAUACGUCCUACGGGAGAAAGCAGGGGACCUUCGGGCCUUGCGCUAUCAGAUGAGCCUAGGUCGGAUUAGCUAGUUGGUGGGGUAAAGGCCUACCAAGGCGACGAUCCGUAACUGGUCUGAGAGGAUGAUCAGUCACACUGGAACUGAGACACGGUCCAGACUCCUACGGGAGGCAGCAGUGGGGAAUAUUGGACAAUGGGCGAAAGCCUGAUCCAGCCAUGCCGCGUGUGUGAAGAAGGUCUUCGGAUUGUAAAGCACUUUAAGUUGGGAGGAAGGGCAGUAAGUUAAUACCUUGCUGUUUUGACGUUACCAACAGAAUAAGCACCGGCUAACUUCGUGCCAGCAGCCGCGGUAAUACGAAGGGUGCAAGCGUUAAUCGGAAUUACUGGGCGUAAAGCGCGCGUAGGUGGUUUGGUAAGAUGGAUGUGAAAUCCCCGGGCUCAACCUGGGAACUGCAUCCAUAACUGCCUGACUAGAGUACGGUA